rnacentral:rRNA from 1 species
UACAGAGGUCCCAAGCGUUGUUCGGAUUCACUGGGCGUAAAGGGUGCGUAGGUGGUGAGGUAAGUCGGAUGUGAAAGCUCGGAGCUCAACUCCGAAAUGGCAUUGGAAACUACCUUGCUCGAGGAAUGGAGGGGGGACUGGAAUUCUCGGUGUAGCAGUGAAAUGCGUAGAUAUCGUGAGGAAGACCAGUGGCGAAGGCGGAUCUCUGGACAGCUCCUGACGCUGAGGCGCGAAGGCUAGGGGUGCAAACGGG